AUGAUGAUAUGUCAAGUAAGAUGAGGACAAUAGGUAUCCUCUGAACUUUGGCAGUAUAGGAAUCGUGAUCUUUCUUGGAAAGAGUGGCUGCUGCAGAGUACUAGGACAGAGCCCACUUCUUCCAGGUUUAGGAAAGAAUGUGAGGAGAGGAGGUGGAGACACUGGUUAUUUCUCUCAUGGGACGUGACUCAUGGGAAAUGUGUGGUCCAUACAGGGGUUCCAAGCAAGGGCUCAGUACCUGGUAGGAGGUGUGAGGAUAAUGAACUGUUUUUUGAAACAUGUGAUCUAUUACAGUCCAUUGUAUGUCCCUGGAAUGAUCUGGUAGGGAGAGAAUAAUGGUUCAAGAGAGAAUGGCUGGUAAUUGUCAGAGCAAAUGCUAUCGGAAGCUGAGAGAGGAUGGGUCAGCUUUGGUCGUUAUCCUUAAGACAGAGCACUCCAGCUUAUCUGUUGUUCUAGGAGGAAAGAUAGGGUAUCAGCGAAAGGAAGCUAUGAAUUUGGUGGGAUUUGAGGUAGACUUCUGGUUGAUGACUUGUCUCUGAAGCCAGAGGAGAUAUCGGGGCGUUAGAGAGGAGAGGGGCAAAGUGACACUGGAGACAGUGGGGAAGCAGUGACGAGAAGAGCAUAGCUGCCAUGUGGGGCAGUACAAAGGACUCCCGCGGGCUUUGGGUCAUUUAUUUAAUAGAUAAAUUAACACCUAUGUAUAUAUUUUUUUCUCCAACUUCCUUCAGUUGCUUGAGUGUGACUGAGAAGGAAGUGGAAAAUAGAGUAGUUCUUUUUAGAUCAAUAUAGAAAUCUGUAAAGUUGACAAGGCAAUCAAAAGAUGCAUGGUGAUGAAACAUCCCAGAAUCUAGGGACAGUGGAGAGAAUGCCAGUGAAGGGCUCGUGGUCAGUGGACAGGUUGCAGUAAUUGCUGGAGUCCAGGUGCUGGAAUGAGCUGGAAAGGUGAUCAGAAAAUUGGAGGUCUGAAACAGAGAUUUUUGGAGGUGGUAAAUGACUUAGUCAUCAAUCUUGUAGGUGGAACAAGAAAAAUGGCUGGGAUUAAGGAGACUGGCAUAGAGACCUUCAGGUGUGUUGGCUCACUGAAUUGGAUCCUCUACGUGCAUAUUAAAAUGACCAAGAAUAAUGAUGGAAGAGCAUGUUGAAAGAAAGGUGAUUGGUCAUCAUCUUACUUUUAAAAGCAUCGUCAUAGGAGCGGGAGCAGGAGCCAUGAAGAAGGUGCACCCACAGGUUGGGAAGGUGCAUCAGCUGCAAGUUGUGAGGAUGAACAGAGCGGAGACCAUCGGAGAACAUGAGCCCACUAGGCUUGCAGUGCCAUGAAGGCACACAGAAAAUAUAGGGUUUUUAUUCUUCUCAUAUACUUGAAAUAGGUAAAAUUAUGUACAUGGAUAAACUUGAAAAAUUCCAAAUAGUACAGUAGACAUAGAGCCAUGGAUACAAGUGUCUGGAACAGAGCUUGGCUCAUAACUGCUGAACAGAUGGAUAACUCACUAUGCUGGCAACAGAUGCUUCCUCUGUAUUGCUGGUAGGAGUGGCAAAAUGAUACAAAAAUUAUGGAGAACUAUUAGAGAUGUAUACAUCCUAAAAGAGUCUCUCUCCACCCCAUCCUCUGGGCAAUCAAUGACUGUUAACAGCUUCUUGUGCCCCCAGGCAUUCUGUGCAAAGGCUCACAUCAUACACACUCGACGCAAGUGAAGGCAAAUAUUUUAACUUUGUUCUUUAUCUUUCCCUUUUCCAAAGCUUUUGCUUGACACCCAUACGUAUCCUCCUCCUUUUUAAUAGUUUUAUUAUAUUACACUAGUCCCCUCCUUCACAAUUCAGUGUUUUGUUAUCACAAACAUGACUGUGGUUAUAGUGUUUUAUAAGUGCCUGAGGUAUUUGUAGGAUUUAUUUUUAGAAAUAAUAAACUGCCAGGUAUAAGGUUGUAUACAUUUCUAAUUGUUUUCCAUGUUUGUAUCAUUUUGCCACUCCUACCAGCGAUUCAGAGGAAGCAUCUGCUGCCAGCAUAGAGAGUUACCCAUUCAUUCAGCAGUUAUGAGCCAAGCUGUGUCCAGACACUUGUAUUCAUGGCUGUAUAGAGGGAAAAAAAUGUGGAAAAAGAUCCUGCCAUCACGGAGCUUAUGUUCAGUAGGAGAUACAGGAUAAAUACAUUUCACAGUGUCCUGGGAGGGAAAAGUUCUACUAGGAGAAAAAAAAGAAAGUAAGGAAGGAUAGGAUGAUCCUCUUUGCUAGGUGGAGUUAUGUCCUUUCAUCAUGAUUUUAAAUAGGGUGCUCAGGGUAGGUGCCAUAUAAUGAGUUGCAAGAAAUUCAUAUUUUGUCAUUCAGAUGACCAAAUAUAUAUUUCCCAGAAGUAUUAGGUCUUCAUCCACAGUUCCUGAAACACUUCAAAGCCUUGGGGUUGAAGUGGGUGUCUCGUCAUGCUAAUGAGAGACUUUUAACCCCACCUAAGGGCUGGGGCUGGAGGUUGAAUCAUCGAUUGGCCAAUGAUUUAAUCAUGACUAUGCAGUGAUGCUGCUUUGCUUCUCUGUCAGAGAAAGCUUCCAUGCUUGGGGAACAGAACAUGUCCAUGUGCCACAGAGCCAGGUCACAAGCUCCCAAGGAUAGAUGUUCCCUUAUUUGGGACCUUGCCCUAUGUAUGUCUUCAUCUGGCUGUUAACUUGUAUCCUUUAUGAUAUCCUUUAUUAAACAGAGGAACUUGUUUUCUUGA